AUGACAGUGGCUGGGACUUCCACUGUGCUGGAGGGACUGCCUCAGGGGGUCAGGUGCACAGUGUCUGUAGCAGCCGUCACCUCUGAGGGUGUGCAGGCCUGGAGUGAACCGAAGUCGGUUUUUAGCCAUGCCUCAGGUUCCUUACAGAACAGCCUAAACCCAAUGCAGAGCAGACAGAGACCGGCUAUUCCCUUGUGCACUUCACUCAGCUCCACCCUCAGAAUGAUGAGGAAGAGACCCUAGCCUAGACACAGACUUAGCACCACAAAGGCACCGUGCAACAACGGAUCUUAUGUUCAGACAUAUCUGUGAUGGAAUCUAAAAGAGCACGCCAAACUUGAAGAACGGACCAGAAGACGCAGUCAGGAUUUCUGGAGUUUAUUUCCGCGUGGAGACCUCCUCUAAGCGCGUUGCUCAGCAAAAAUAACACGAGUAAAAGGAAUGGCCACCAGUUACUUUGGGCGGCAGUUCCUGAAACAGAUGAGUGUUGAUGAGCACCGAGUUUGGCUCUUGGGUAGGGAUGGGAAUCUUGUUAAGAACCGGUUCCCAGUGGACCGAUUCCUUGGAAUCGUUAGCCAAAGUCCUUUACGAUUCCGCUAUCGAUGUAGGUGCUCUUUGCGCAUGCACGAUGACCUCACUCGCACGCAGCUUUGUUUUGUUUAGACUGCAGCCAACAUGGCGUCUAGGCAGAAGCGUGGUUAUAUUUCACGCGAAAAGAUGACCACAGGGCCACUUGCAAUGCUUGCAAAACGUCUAUUUCUAUUUGUAUAAAAGAAAAUGAAUGUAAAUAAACCCGUUUGUACUCUUUAUUGGUUUUUUUCC
rnacentral:lncRNA from 1 species